rnacentral:tRNA from 1 species
GCCCGGAUGGCGGAAUCGGUAGACGCUGCGGACUUAAAAUCCGUUUCCCGUAAGGGAGUGAGGGUUCAAGCCCCUCUCCGGGCACCA